CUAGGCCGAGGGCACGGCUGCCUGGGUGUCACGCGUCGUUACCCCCAGCAACGAGACGUUGCGUGGGGUGCAUGAUGGCCUCCCGCGAGCGUUGUCUCUUGGUUGGUUGAAAACUGAGUUCACGGCCGAGCGUGCGGUGGCCAAACGGUGGAUGAGUAAUGCUCGAUGCCGGCCACGUGCACCUCUGUGUCGGAUUUGGAUCCUUGACCUCGUGCGUCUUUUACUUGGACGCCUCUAACGAGACCUCAGGUCAGGCGGGGCUACCCGCUGAGUUUAAGCAUAUCAAUAAGCGGAGGAAAAGAAACUAACAAGGAUUCCCUUAGUAACGGCGAGCGAACCGGGAAUAGCCCACCAUGAAAAUCGGUCGCCUCUGGCGUCUGAAUUGU
rnacentral:rRNA from 1 species